GGCGGCGUGCUUAACACAUGCAAGUCGAACGAUGAUGCCCAGCUUGCUGGGCGGAUUAGUGGCGAACGGGUGAGUAACACGUGGGUGAUCUGCCCUGCACUUCGGGAUAAGCCUGGGAAACUGGGUCUAAUACCGGAUAUGACCACAGGAUGCAUGUUUUGUGGUGGAAAGGUUUACUGGUGCAGGAUGAGCCCGCGGCCUAUCAGCUUGUUGGUGGGGUAAUGGCCUACCAAGGCGACGACGGGUAGCCGGCCUGAGAGGGCGACCGGCCACACUGGGACUGAGACACGGCCCAGACUCCUACGGGAGGCAGCAGUGGGGAAUAUUGCACAAUGGGCGAAAGCCUGAUGCAGCGACGCCGCGUGAGGGAUGACGGCCUUCGGGUUGUAAACCUCUUUCAGCAGGGACGAAGCGCAAGUGACUGUACCUGCAGAAGAAGCACCGGCUAACUACGUGCCAGCAGCCGCGGUAAUACGUAGGGUGCGAGCGUUGUCCGGAAUUACUGGGCGUAAAGAGUUCGUAGGCGGUUUGUCGCGUCGUGUGUGAAAUCCCGCAGCUCAACUGCGGGCUUGCAGGCGAUACGGGCAGACUUGAGUACUGCAGGGGAGACUGGAAUUCCUGGUGUAGCGGUGAAAUGCGCAGAUAUCAGGAGGAACACCGGUGGCGAAGGCGGGUCUCUGGGCAGUAACUGACGCUGAGGAACGAAAGCGUGGGUAGCGAACAGGAUUAGAUACCCUGGUAGUCCACGCCGUAAACGGUGGGCGCUAGGUGUGGGUUUCCUUCCACGGGAUCCGUGCCGUAGCUAACGCAUUAAGCGCCCC
rnacentral:rRNA from 1 species